UACGAAGGUCCCAAGCGUUAUCCGGAUUUAUUGGGUUUAAAGGGUGCGUAGGCGGCUUAUUAAGUCAGUGGUGAAAGCUCCAUGCUUAACAUGGAAAUUGCCAUUGAUACUGAUGAGCUUGAGUAUAUUUGAAGUGGGCGGAAUGUGUCGUGUAGCGGUGAAAUGCUUAGAUAUGACACAGAACACCGAUUGCGUAGGCAGCUCACUAAACUAUAACUGACGCUGAGGCACGAAAGCAUUGGGAUCAAACAGG
rnacentral:rRNA from 1 species